rnacentral:rRNA from 1 species
CUACGGGUCGCAGCAGUGGGGAAUAUUGGACAAUGGGCGAAAGCCUGAUCCAGCAAUGCCGCGUGAGUGAUGAAGGCCUUAGGGUUGUAAAGCUCUUUUACCCGGGAUGAUAAUGACAGUACCGGGAGAAUAAGCCCCGGCUAACUCCGUGCCAGCAGCCGCGGUAAUACGGAGGGGGCUAGCGUUGUUCGGAAUUACUGGGCGUAAAGCGCACGUAGGCGGCUUUGUAAGUUAGAGGUGAAAGCCUGGAGCUCAACUCCAGAACUGCCUUUAAGACUGCAUCGCUUGAAUCCAGGAGAGGUGAGUGGAAUUCCGAGUGUAGAGGUGAAAUUCGUAGAUAUUCGGAAGAACACCAGUGGCGAAGGCGGCUCACUGGACUGGUAUUGACGCUGAGGUGCGAAAGCGUGGGGAGCAAACAGGAUUAGAUACCCGCGUAGUC